rnacentral:lncRNA from 1 species
AUGAGAGGUCUGGGUCGAGGGCCGGCGGCUUCCCCGGCUCCUGCACCCCCGGACAGCCGGGCGGCCCUCUCGCCAGCGGGACCCAGCUCUGACCACGUCAGUCCCCACCAGCCCCGCUGCCGCGGUCGUGGGGAGAGGGGAGGGCAGGCUGGGGGGUCCGUCGCAGCCCACAGGGCGGGAGCCCAGGGCAGCCGGCCGAGCCCCGGGGCUCCAGAGCCCAGGCCCAGGCCCGCGCCGCUCCCCGCACUUACCGGACACCUCGGAGCCCGCAGCCGGAGCUCCGGUGGCCAGGCUGCGCCUGGAGGAAGGGAAGAAGGGACAAGGAGCCAAGACGUGGGGACAAAGUUCUCCGAAGUGAAGAGUUUACCAGGGAAGGGCUGCGGGGAAGGGGAAGGCCAGAGUGAGGACGCGGGAGACCGCGGAGCCGGGCGGACGCCGCCACCCCUGCGGCGCGGGUCGGGACCGGGGCUCCCGGGUCGGCGCGCCCAGCGCCAUCCCCGACCCCUCGCCAUCCCCUGGCGGCGGCCCAUCCCCAGCCUCCCGCACAACCGAGCCAAGCGGGGGUCGCAAGGCCCGAGGGCGGCGUUGGGCAGGGUGGGGGGCGCUCCUCCAGCCGGGACCGGCCUGGAGCGAACCACCGUCCCGGGGCCCGCGUGUGCCCCGCGUGCGUCGCCGUGUGUGUGUGUGUGUGUGUGUGUGUGUGUGUGUGUGUGUGAGAGAGAGAGAGAGAGAGAGAGAGAGAGAGCCGGCGUGGGUCCCCCAGUGCGGGCGCAGGCCUGUUCCCUGGGGAUGCGCACUGGCGUGGGUCCCCCGGUGCGGGCGCAGGCCUGUUCCCUGGGGAUGCGCACUGGCGUGGGAGGCUCCCGGCGCUGGAGGGAUCUUGCCCCCGGGUCGCGGAGGAUCGCCAGGGGCCCGCGGGCCGCGGGGGGCCGCAAAGGAGCCCGCGGGCUGCGCGGCGCCGCGGGGCGGGCAGGGGCGGGCCGGACGGCCUCGGGACCCCGUGCGCUCCUCCUGAGCUCGCGGGCGCCGGCUCUGCCGGUCGCGGCGGGUCGGGACGGCGGGCGGCGGGCUGAGACGCGGCCAGGGCUUGCCCGCCCCGAGCCUCUGGAGGUCCCGGCCUCCUCCCGUGCGCUGUCGGCUCUGCCCUGCGUGCGUCCCGGGCCGACUGGCGCUCAAAUAAUGGGUUGGUGCCUGGAUUGA